rnacentral:rRNA from 1 species
AUACGGAGGGUGCAAGCGUUACUCGGAAUCACUGGGCGUAAAGCGCGCGCAGGCGGAUUGGCAAGUUGGAUGUGAAAGCCUGCGGCUCAACCGCAGAACUGCAUCCAAAACUGUCAGUCUAGAGUCUGGGAGAGGUAGCUGGAAUUAGUGGUGUAGGGGUAAAAUCCGUAGAGAUCACUAGGAAUACCGAAAGCGAAGGCGAGCUACUGGAACAGUACUGACGCUGAGGCGCGAAAGCGUGGGGAGCAAACAGGAUUAGAUACCCUUGUAGUCC